CAUGUCGGUUGAUACUAGUUUUUCCUUCAUUUAUAUGCAAAAACUGAAGGAUUCACACGAUUGUUGAAUGUGCUUUACAGCGCCACAACUAUUAAAGGGAAGCUAUUCAAGUCACGCCUCCUGUGUGGUUAUUAUAACAA